rnacentral:rRNA from 1 species
AAAUUUGAAAGCUGGCCUUCGGGUCCGCAUUGUAAUUUGUAGAGGAUGCUUUGGGUGAAACGCCAGUCUAAGUUCCUUGGAACAGGACGUCAUAGAGGGUGAGAAUCCCGUAUGUGACUGGAAAUGUUAACCUAUGUAAAGCUCCUUCGACGAGUCGAGUUGUUUGGGAAUGCAGCUCUAAAUGGGAGGUAAAUUUCUUCUAAAGCUAAAUAUUGGCGAGAGACCGAUAGCGCACAAGUAGAGUGAUCGAAAGAUGAAAAGCACUUUGGAAAGAGAGUUAAAAAGCACGUGAAAUUGUUGAAAGGGAAGCGCUUGCAAUCAGACUUGUUUAAACUGUUCGGCCGGUCUUCUGACCGGUUUACUCAGUUUGGACAGGCCAGCAUCAGUUUCGGCGGCCGGAUAAAGGCUCUGGGAAUGUGGCCUUCACUUCGGUGAAG